UACGUAGGGUGCAGGCGUUAAUCGGAAUUACUGGGCGUAAAGCGUGCGCAGGCGGUCUAUUAAGACAGGUGUGAAAUCCCCGGGCUUAACCUGGGAACUGCGCUUGUAACUGAUAGGCUGGAGUGUGGCAGAGGGGGGUGGAAUUCCACGUGUAGCAGUGAAAUGCGUAGAUACCAGGAGGAACACCGGUGGCGAAGGCGGCUUCCUGGCCGAGUACUGACGCUGAGGCACGAAAGCGUGGGGAGCAAACAGG
rnacentral:rRNA from 1 species